rnacentral:lncRNA from 1 species
UUUUCUUAAGGUUCUAUGUGAUAAUAAAAACGGUGACGAAGCGCUUAGGCUUUAUGGAAGAAUGAUCGAAGUGGGUUGUUGGCCAAGUGUGCAAACUUAUAAUAUGCUGAUUUCAAUGUAUUUUGAACUGGGUGAACCUGAUGGGGCAUUUGAGAGCUGGCAUGAGAUGGAUAAAAGGGGUUGUGCUCAGGACGUUGAUACUUACUGUGUGAUGAUUGAUGGGCUUUUUGAUUGCAGUAAAGUGGAAGAAGCUUGCUUUCUGUUGGAAGAGGUUGUAAACAAGGGAUUGAAAUUGGCGUAUCGGAAGCUUGACUCGUAUCUGAUGCAGCUUUCUGUGAUUGGUGAUCUUGGGGCAAUCCACAAACUUUCAGAUCAUAUGAGGAAGUUUUACAACCCUGUUAUAGCAAGACGUUUAGCACUGAAUCAAAAGAGGGUUAGAAUAAGCUUAAGAGAGAAGUAGGAAGAUAGAAAUUUAGAAUGAAGAACAUGAAUGAAUCAACGAGAAUAUAUGUACGCACCCUGAUUAACAUUCAUUCAUUCAUACAGUUGUGAUUAAUAUGUUCAUUUAUAAAUUUCGAGAGGAUGUACAUUCUCAGGUAUUUGAUGUAAAACCAAUGCGAACGAGAGAAAAGACCAGAAUUUUUGUUUAAUGUUAGUGUUAUUGAUUAGCGUAGCUUUCUGAUCGGUUCACAGCUUUAUUGUUUAUGAGCUAUUGAAUUUGCCAGCUGUAAUUGUGAUUUUUUUGGGGAAAAUGGCCUUAUGAUUAGUGUAUAAUUUUUUUUUUCACAAAUUUAACUUAAUUAGUUGUUGAAGCAGUAUUUUCGUUUGGAAAGAAUUUGACUGCUGUAGGAGAGAGAAACUUAAGAAAGGACUCUUGCGAGUGCGAGCUCCGGAGAACAUUUUUGUUUCUGUAGCUGUGUUGCAUAUGCAUGUAAUUUGAUUUAAAUUUCCCGGACCAAGUUUUGGUUUAUCUAAUUAUUCAUGUUGCUGCAGACUUAUCCAUGUGGCUGGCAGGAUAGACUAGGCCCUCCUUUGUAGUGCUGUUAUAUUUUCCAUAUUUCUAACAUGCAACUUUGUGACCUUGCAGUUAUAGAUGAUAGAUUUAUCCAAACAAAGCGAUAGGCAUGGGAUCCAUUUAUGGAUUUUGGAGGCAACUAGAAAGGAACGGAAUAUAGCCAAGCAAAGAUACAUCAAAUGUUUGUCAACGAAUUGUUAUGUAGUCUCCAGCUUAGGAAUCGGUGAGUCAAAAUCUCGGAUACCAAAUAUUGCUACUGACAAUGUUUUGCACGUCAAAUUCAAUCUUUUAUAUAAAUUUUGCACACUUAUCGUUAGUUCUUUGUGGUUUUUGUUUCUAUAGGUUUAUAAGAAGUUUGUUUUAUAAGUGAUAAUGGGUGAUGUGAAAUAUGGGGGGAUAUGUGUUGACACCACCGUUUUGUGUUUUAUAAGUUUGUUUUAGUAUUCUUGCUCAAAUUUGUGUUUCCAAUAUUAUUGGGAUUAAAGGUACUGCCUUGAUUUCCAGAGUUGGUAGGAUGCUGACCUUGGCUUCCUUUAUUGUUUUGGAAGUUCUUCGUGUCAAAUUGAUUACCAUUUUUUGAGGAAGAGAAGCAGGUAAUGUUAGUGAUGAUAUUUCUAAGAUUUUCAGUAGAGCAAAGUUCCUCUCGUUUGAGAAAUGCUUCAUAUUUGCCAAGUUUGUUGUGAAGUUCAUCAAAGCUGAUCAUGAUAUCUCUAGCUCGUACGGCAGUUGCAAGUUCCUUGAAUUGAGGACCCACCCGGUUGAGAGUGUGAGUAAUGAGGUAUUGAUCCGGAACAGGUGCUCCAAUUAAAACCAAUUUAUCAGCAAGAUAUUCGACUACUGGUUGUGAACCUUGACUGAUGAGGCUGAGCUGUUUUGCUAACGCCAUAGUUCUUGAGGAUGAAGAAUUAGCUAAAUUUUUUUCCUCGGCAUGUCCAGGAUUCAACAGAAGUUUUGCAUGGGCUAACCAUAGGGACAACUCUGUGAUUGAGAGAGCCAAUGAUGGCAAGCAAAGUGAGUUUGUCUUGUCUAAAGAGUAUAUUCAAGAUUUAAGACUUUAUUGCCAUCGGUUUCAAUUUGUAAGGGAGGACAAGGAUUUGUUCCAUCAAUAUACCCACGUAAAUCUUACCCAUAAAGCAAGACAUCAAACUGUGAUUUUUAUGAAUCGUAAUCGAAAGAGUCAACUCUAAUGGAAGUUGAUUGACUACAUUGAUGGCUAUAAGGUCGUUUGGGUUUAGGGAUAUGUUGGUAAGUGUUUGGAUUGAAGAAGAAGCUGUUCAGUUUUCACUGGUCAUGGUGAAAGUUAAAAGCUAAGAAUCGAGGAGUCUUGUGAGCUGUAAAAUGCUCUGAUAGCAUAUAAAGUCAGAGACAAGGAUUAAGAAAAGAUAAUUUCAUUCCUCUAAAACCAAGCUAUUAUACACGCUAGUACCUGAAACUGAAGAGGAAAGAGACAAAAGAUUCCUUAGCGUGAGGAAUUAUAGAGAUUACCUAAAAUUCAUGCACCGUCACUUGAAUCAUCUUGGUUUAGGGAGGGGAUUGAUUUUAUCCUUUUUAAGUCUAUAAUUCUUUAGUCGUAGAAUUUAGAGUACAAUACUUAUUGCACCUAAAUGUUAUUUCCACUUACUUUAAAUAGUAAAAAGGUAAUAAUGGUAUAAAUUAAAUGCUAGGUUUUCAACUCCAAAUUAUUUAUUUAUUUAUUAUUAUUAUUAUUAUUUUAAGAUCAAAGCUUGCGCAUACCAUGAAGAGUUCGCUCUUAACCAGGUGAACAUAGGCUUUAACUAAAAAAAUCUUUACCUUUUACCUUAGAGAAAGAAACUUAAUUAAAUGUGAAUUAUAUAUCCUUAAUAAUUUCCAAGAAGAAAGUGGUUUUGCUUAAUUAAAUAUACGCAUUAGAGAACUCAGCUGCCAAGAAGCCAAGAAACCAACUUUCAAUAAGGUAGUACAUACACCAGCCGGGUAUUAAAUCUAAAAUAUAGGGAUUGUAGAUAAGCAUUUACCCGUUAUUUUAUAGCAGUUACAAAUAUGAAUGACAAUUUGACCUAAUUUUGGCCCAACUGACCUUACCCUAAUUUUUCGAGCUUUAAUUCGAAAAUUCGGGUUUCGGGUCAGGUUCGGGCUAAAAUUUUUAAGCCCGAUCAAAAUUUGAGGCGGGUUGGAUCAGGCUUAAGUCAACCCGACCCGACCCUAUAUUAAAAAAAUUAGCACAUUAAAAAAUUAUAUUAUUACAUUAUUUGGUUGUUUUGUGAAUUAUUAAUUGGUUCAAAAUAUUAUUACAUUAAUUGGUUGUUUUGUGAAUUAUUAAUCGAUUGAAAAUAUUAUUACAUUAAUUGGUUGUUUUGUGAAUUAUUUUGUGAUUAAUUGUAUUGUAUAUUUUGCCUUUGUGUUGAUAAUUAUUUUAAGUUAGAAAAAUCAUUUCUUUUGGUUUAUAUUCAUGGUACUGUAACUAGAAAGAGAACAAAAAUUGAAAAGCAACAUGAAUGAAAUUGGGAUGUGGUCAUAAAAUUACAAAAUAUUGACAAAAUAAUGCAGCUUAAAUUUAUUAAUUCUGAAAAAAAUUACGGUUGGCCUGAAUCGGGUCGGGUGGAAUCACAAAUGGUGAGGUUUUUUUUAGGGUUGGGCUUUUAUUUUUAUUGAUCGGGUCGGGCUCGGGCUUGGCCAGGCCCGAGCUCGACUCAACCGAAUGCCAUUCCUAGUUACAAAUAAACAACUAACUCAAUAGGAUAAUGAAGGAUGAAAUCACUUUGUCUUUGGAACGCGCUCAAAGAAACUAGAGAUACGACCAUAUAUCUCAAGUUUCUUGGGCAUUAGUCUGGAGCUAGCAUUUUAGGACUUGUGGAGUGUGAUUGAUGAUGAAAGAGAACUAUACGAUUGUUUUUUUUUUUUCCCUCCUUCCUCAUUUCCCUCUUUUUUUUUUUUCCCAAAGGCUGAACAAGAAGUCUGCCAGAUUCUUUCUUAAUUUUUAACAAACGAAUCAAAAGGGAUGAUCAAGAAGAAGCUCUUAACCAAGCGAAUGCCAUUCACGCCAUUCUAUCACCACAAUGUUCUCUUACACAUAUUUCAAAUGACCCUCCUUGUUUCAGUUGGAUUAUCGACUCCCCAAAUUUUUAGAGCCCAAGCUUUAUUCAUAUUACAUUGCCAAAAUUUUUAGGGUCCAAGUCCAUUUUGAGGGACGUGGCAAAAUGUGUCAUCCUUCAAGUAAGUAUUUUUCUCAAGUUUUCUUUAUUAUUUGUAUUUUUCAUAAGUUUUGUUUGUUUUUGAACGAGUAUGUUUCUUUGUUUGUUUAUGGUUCAAAUAAGUAUGUUUCUCAAGUUACUUUCCUCAAGUUUUCUGUUCAAUUAUGCACUCUUCUCAAGUUUUCUGGUUCAAGCUAAUAUUUUUCUUAAGUUUUCUAGUUCAAAUUAGUAUUUUUCUCAAGUUUUCUGGUUCAAGUAAGUUUUCUUCUCAAGUUUUAUGGUUCAAAUAUUUUUCUCAUCGUUCAAAUGAUUAAUUUUUUUUUUCAAGUUUUCUAGUUCAAAUAAGUAUUUUUCUCAAGCUCUUUGGUUCAAGCCAAUAUUUCCUUUCUUCGUCUUGACUCAAGUAUUUUUCUCAAGUUUUCUUUGCUUUUUGGUUCAAAUAAAUAUUUCUCUCAAGUUUUCUAAUUCAAAUGAGUAUUUUCUCACGUUUUUUAUAAGGGUGAUGUUUUGUAUGCAGAAGCAGAGGCAGCAGAAUGGGGUGUUGGCAUUGCUAAAGAGGCAGGUCUGUUGUCAAUAAUUUUGGAAACUGACUCUCAAGUGCUAGCUGAUUUGAUCAACAAUAAAGGAGGCAAUAUGACAGAGAUACACUGGAUCAUUUCAGACAUUCAAGCCCUAAUGAAUCAUUUCAAUCGCUUUGUAGUAAGAUAUGUUCCUAGAUUGUGUAAUACUAAUGCCCAUUUAUUAGCAAAAAUGGUGUUACGAAAGACUGAUCUUGUUGUUUGGAAGGAAAAUUUCCCUCCAGAGUUUAAGCAUGUAUUUUCUGUUUUGGUUUAAUGAAAGCUACAAUUUCCUAUAAAAAAAAAAGUAAGUAUUUUUCUAAAGUUCUCUUUUUUUUUUUGGUUCUAAAAAUAAGUUUUGUUCUUCCAAAUUAAGAGAAAAGAAAAUAAAAUGUUUGUAUGAUUCUAUUUGUGCAAUCUUUGAUUGAUUUAAAAAAAUUUGAUUGUGUCGCGCUUUCAUACGGAGCUCCAAAUAUGAAGAACUAGAUGCACGGAUACCAUGUAUUGGUUGAACCUUUGUGAUCUAUUCUUUUCAAAGAAUCAACUCUCAGUACUAUUAUUUUAUCAAAACCUGUAAUUUCAUAGCUAUACUAAUUAGGGUUUCAUAGGUGACUCUGUUCAUUAAUCUUAAUUUUUUUAUCAGAAUGUGUUGGGACAAUUACGGAAUUAUAUAUUUCUAGUUACCAAUUGCUGCCUUGUGAUAUGUUGGUGAAAGGAAGAUUUGUUCUCCUUCUCAUUUUCAUAGUGUGUAGUAAAUUAGUAUAUGUAAUGUACUCUUUUUUUUUUUUGGAACUGCAAUGUACUCUUUUUUGUUAAUAGAUUAUGGUUCUUUUUCUAACUUGUUUAAGUUGAUAAUCCUCAAUAGGAAAAACAUAAUUUUGGUAAAGAAUAUAUAGAACACCUAGUGCACAUGGAAGUACAUAUUCUCAAUGUGCACAUGGAAGUGUACAUUUGUUCUCCUUCUCAUUUUCAUAGUUUGUAGUAAAUUAGUAUAUGCAAUGUACUCUUUUUUGUUAAUAGAUUGUGGUUCUUUUUCUAACUUGUUUGAGUUGUUAAUCCUCAAUAGGAAAAACAAAAUUUCGGUAAAGAAUAUAUAGAACACUUAGUGCACAUGGAAGUAUAGAUUCUCAAGGGAUUAAAGCCUGAGAUGCAUUAUGUGAGUCUUACUCCCAUAUGCUUUCUGAAGUACUUUCUUAGAUAGAUCUCAGUGGGAUAAAAUAUCCAAUUUAGAAUCCAUGAGAUUUUCAUCCAAGCACUAGGAGGUUAGAUACCUUUUCAAAUAGAAGUUGAUUGUGCAACUGUUAUUCCAUACUCGAUUUAUGAUCUCUAAUUCUCAAUUUGUUAGCAUAAAAGGCAACACAUAAUAUAAUUUUGAUGAUAAAAAAUAUGUGUUAAGUGAUUUGAAAAAUAUUAUAUUUCACAUUUUCACUAGUUCUUGAAGGAUAAUGUUUAUGUAAGUGAAUCAAGUGAAAUUAAGUUCAAGAUAUUCAACAAACAACGGCGUAAUUAAGAAUAAAGUUUAGAGUUCAAUGGACUCAUUAUUGUUACAAUUCUUGUUAAGCUGGUAUGACUUAAUAUACGAAUGGUCUAACAUUUGAGAAGCCCAAGAUUUUGUUUAAUAAAUCAUUAUUUUUUCAUAAAUCAAAUGUUUUACAAGUAUAAGCUAAGUAUUUUAUGAAGUUAGUUAUUUUUCAAGAUGUGGACUAAAAUAAAAAAAGUUUUGCAAUCUUUGACUUUAAUAAGUAUUGUUUUGAAUUCGGGAGUUGGACUUAUUUGCAAACGCUUGAAACCUUUUGGGCCAUACCAUAAUUUAUGAAAGUUUGAGGGCCAGAGUGUAAAUAUCUUAAAUGUACAGAGAGUUAGUGGCUAGCCGCUUGAGGAAAAUUUCAUAUUUCUAAAUUUUAGACUAAAUUAAAAAAGUUUUGAGAACUUUGAAAUCUACAAGUAUUUUGUUAAAUUUUAAAAAGGACUUCUUUGAAAAAUAUUAUUAUGUAUUAGGCAUAGCAUAAUUUUAGAAAGUUUUGGGAAUAACAAAUAUUAUUUAGAAAUUCUGAAAUUUGAUAUUUUUGCAUAGUUCUAUGACAUUUGGGGCAUAGUAUAAUCACUAAAAGUAUUGGGCAAUAAUAUAAUUUUGUGAACAGUAUUACUGUAACAAUUUCGAAUUUAAUGGCAACUUUAUUGUUCUGAAGUGGGGAGCCGGAUAAAUUAAGUGGCUAACCACUUACUUGCUGGAAUUUACCUAUAAUAGCUAGUUUUUGGACUUUAACUAUAAAAACUCAACUUCAACUUUAAUUUUAAGACUUUUGCAAGGAUAAACAAGUGCGAACAAUAUAUUUUGGGCUUCCAAAUUUGAAAAUCAUCAUAAAUUAAAUUUUCAUUGAACUAUUAUUUGUAGAUUUACACUAAAAGAGAGUUCAUUGUUGUAAUAUUUACUUUAUCAUCAAAUUUGUGAGUGUUUAAAUGUGAGAAACACUUGAGUGAAGAGAUUGUGAGAUAAUCUCUUAGUUGUAAAGGUUUAUUGACACUUUAGAAGUCAAUUGUAAAGAACUUGAAGCAUUGAGAGGCUUGGAUAGUGAAAUCCUCAAGUGUUUCUCACACCACGUAAAAAUUAUUGUGUUUGCUCUCUCUUCCCUUACUCUUUUAUUAUUGUGCUUUAUUGAAUUUAUUGUUUUUGAUUUGAUUAAGGUAAUAGAUGAAAUUGUUGUUUCGAAUUAUUUAACAUAAGUUAUAAAAUUCCAGUUCACACCCUCUUGAGUUGCAUAACUUGCAUUUCACAUUUUUCAUAAGAGACAUCAAUUUUACAAGAUUCAGGCCCUCAGUGAUUGUUGCAUCAGCAGCUAUUACUGCCAACGAGCUUCUGUCAUAUGACAAAAUAUCUAUUGUUAGUGACAGGGAUCCUGUGUUUACAAGUAAGUUUUGGACGGAGUUGUUUAAACUGCAAAGGACACAACUUUGUAUGAGUUCGAGUUAUCAUCCUUAAACCGACGGACAAACCGAAGUGCUGAAUCGUACUCUUGAACAGUACCUUCAUUGUUUUACUGGAGAUCACCCGACUCGUUGGAUGGAUUGGAUUGCUUGGGCUGAAUAUUGUUAUAAUACAUUUGUUCAUUCAUCUACCAAACUCACUCCAUUUGAAGUUGUUUAUGGAAUCAAACCUCCAUCUUUACUAUCUUAUACUCCAGGUGUUACUAAAGUUCAAGCUGUGGAUGACACACUUAAGUCUAGAGAUGAAAUUCUUAAGUUACUGCGGCAAAUCUCCAGCUCUCACAAAAUCGGAUGAAGUUUCAGGUUGACAAAAAUCGUAUUGAGCGAGAAUUUGCUGUUGGUGAUUGGGUUUUUCUUCGUCUCGAACCAUAUCGCCAUUCGUCAGUUACUUUGCGAAGAACUCUCAAGUUAGCACCCAAUUUUUUUGGUCCUUAUCAAGUUCUAGCACGAGUUGGUCCAGUUUCUUACAAAUUGGAUCUUCUGGUUGGCUCGAAGAAACAUAAUGUAUUCCAUGUCUCCAAUUUAUUUAUGCAUGUUGUUUACGUAAGAAUUGGCUAAGCGUUCCAUUAGUGUUGAGUUUUAUUAGUUGAGUUAAUGAGUUGUGAUGGAAAUUAAUUUGUAUUUUAAUUAUUAUCUUCUAACUAUUUCAUUCAGUUAUUGUAAGUUACAUUGUCAUGUAACCUAUGUUGUAUUUGAACUAGAAAAGUGAAUGAAUGGAGGUAGUUAUUCACUGAAUAAAUGCUUUUUUUUUUUGAGAGAACGGUUCUCUCGAACAACAGUAUUUUUCGUCCUUCUUUAUUGGUUUUAAUACAACUUAGAAUAUAACAUCAUUCCAUGUGUAAGAUUCCUUGGCUCAUGCUUCGUCUCAAAGCAGAUUCAAUCACUUUCUUCAGUGUUUCAAACGGCUUCAGUCGCCAUGUAGAUUUACCUAAAGCAUCAAAUAGGAGCAGCAGGUGCUUCUCUUCAAAGGGUUGGCUUAUUGAAAUUGAAUCCGUGAAAUUGACUAUCAGUCUUUUGCAUCCCUUUUCUCUUCGUCAACUUGAACUGCCAUCCAUCAAUAGCUUUCCAUAUUCUUCCAAUGAUUGGACUAAUGAUAUAAAUGAUACUGACGUUGGUAUUUUUUUAAUAAUCAGAUGUGUUUUAUCAUCAUCAUUCUGUCCAAAUUCAGAUUCUUCGCAAGUCCAAGCUAUGCUUAUUUAUGGAAGAAAUAGGAAAUUGCCUACGCUAGACCUGGUGAUAAGGUUUGGACAAGAGUUCGUAACAGCAAUUAUUUUGAUGUCAUCUACUACAGAGAUCAAUUUUAUGCUAUUAAUGGUUUAGGGCAAAUAUUUGCGAUCAAAGGUGAUUUCCCGGUGCAAAUUGCUAAGCCACCUACUGAAUUUAUUCAAGUCGGUGAUCAUGUGGAAUGUUUGUAUUAUAUUAUUUGGUAGAGUCAGAUGGAGCUGUGUUCGUUGUUUCAAGAAAAUAAGUACUGAAGCUAGAAAGACUAUCUCCUUACACCUGUACAACAAUGGGAUUUAAUGUUUUUCAGGUUGAUUUAAAUAAUAAUAAAUGGAUCAAGAUGGCGAGUUUAGGAUGUAGAUCCUUCUUUUUGGGGUUGAACUCUUCGUUGUUAAUCAAUGCAUCAAAUAAUUCUUAUUGUAAACCUAAUUGUAUAUAUGUUACCGACGAUUAUGUGCACGUAUAUUGGUACAAUAUUGAUGAAAGGACCCGUUGAGCCCUUCUUGAUGGAAGUAGGAUUUGAAGAUAUCGGAAUUUGCAACAUGGAAGAUGGACGCAUUGAGCCGUUGUAUCAAGGAAAUCUUGAUCAUUGUUUUGUUCCACUUAUGUGGAUUGAACAUAGUUCUUAAUAUUGAUCAUAUUUAUCAGGUGAGAGAUCUUCUCUUUGUUUAUUUAUGUAUAAAUAUUUUUUGAUAAUAAUUAUGCGUGUUGAAUGUAAUUGCAUCUAUUUAAUUACUAAUUUGAUGUGGUAAUCCUAUUGAUACAUCAUAGGGCAGAUGUACAUUAUAUGGAGGAAGAGAAGUAUUGGAAAUUUUCAGCAUGGAAGAUGGAAGCAUUGAGCCAAAUUAGGGAAAUUCGUUUCUUCAUCUUAACUCUGGAGCCACAUUAUGUUUAGUACUCAUCAUCGUUCCUUUCAAUAACAACUUUGAUUUUCAAUAAUUGGUUAACUAAUUUAGUACUUUGUGUCAAUUUCAUUUGAAAUAACUUUUGGGGUAUAGUUUGUUAUGUUUGCUUUCUUUGAUGCUUUAAUGUUUGGAUCGGUGGAAUUACUUAUUGUUAAUUUAUGGUGGGUUUUUAGAUGGAUACUCGUUUUUCUUUCUCAGAUAUUAUUGCGUUAUUGUUUUGUUUUUAAUAUUUUUUAAUAAGUUAUUCACUUUUAUUUAGGGUAAGUUAUGGGUAAAGGUUAAAUUAAUUUUUUUAUAACACUACAAGAAAAAUAGCCUGAGAAAAUUAUGUGGUACUUAGCAGCGUCAUUCUAUAAUUGUAGCCUGAAAUUUUAUUCAAUGAGGCACAUUCGACAACAUUUAAUGCAAUUUAGAAAAUUUUAAAUAAUAAUAUAAAACGUAACUACUAUUUUGUUUUAUAAGUAUUUUUACUAUGACAAUUGUAAAUAUGGCACAUUUCAAACAUGACUUAACUUAAUGCCAUUUCUAAGAGGAUCAAAGUUGACCGUAUCGCUACCAUGGAUAUAUAUAUAUAUAUAUAUUACAAAAGUAGAAAUACUAGUCAAAUGCAGUUAGCUUUACCCGCGGCAACUCAAAUGGAACGAUAGCUUGGAAAUGUAUUCUGAGAUAUAGUAAUGCAUGUUCUAUGACUUCUCCAAGAGUUUUUAUUCCUUUGAAUGAAUUUCCGUACAUAACUUCUGUUACUCCACGGAAUUAAAAGAAAGGCGAGCCAAGGUUACAUAAUACAUGUACAAGAGCUGCCACUUGAGCUUCUCUUCCUCCUAAAACUUGGAUAUAACUGAAGAUGAAAGGGUUUUUACAAGAGUAAUAAGUUAGAAAAAUACGUACCAGCAGAAAUUCUAUAGCCAUUUUGUCUAAGCAAUCGAAACUGAAGCGAGUUAUAAUAGAGCUCAUCAUUUUCAUUAUCACAAAGAUCACAAUCUUGAUAAGCCUCAUGUAUCUUUCCCAAGAUUUCAUCAAUCUUACUUUCAAAAUGGUAAGACAUUCUAAAAGCUGAAUUGCAUCAAUCAAUUCAAGUGCAUGUGAAGGCCUGUUGACAGCUUUUAGCAUUCUUGUAAUUUCUUUCUUCAGCUCUUGAUGCUUUACACUGCCAUCAUCAGUUUCCUAACGAGGAAGAAGUUUGAAGAAAUGAAGCUCUUAGCAGGGGGAUGGAAACAUUUUACACCUUGUAUAUAUUAUCCUAUAUCUCGACCCAAAAAAUGUCAUAUUCAAUACUAUUAUUAUGUUGUCACAGUACCAACAACUCCUUAGUCGAAUUGAUUGACACCUCCUCUAUAUAUAUACAUGAGAAAGGUGGAAAAAAAAGAGUGAAAGUUGUUAGAGUAGUACUACUGGAGAACUGUAAGUACUGAUACAUGUGCAACUUUAAUGGUGGGGCAAAUAUCAUUCUGAAGAAUCAUUUUACCUGGGAAUCACAAGUUUAUUGAAGAAAAUGAUCCCCCCAAAUGCUUGGAUGAUAAUUUGCAGAGCGACGAGUAGAAUCUUUUCUAGCAUUUUGGAUAACUCUAGCAGGAGCGGCUGAAACUUGUAAAGAAAUUUAAUUUCUAUUGCUUUCUGAAGGCUUUUGAGUUUUGAGGAAAAAAAGGUACUGCUAAAGUGAGCUGGUGUGAGUAUUUGGUGCCUUUUUGCUACCGCAUUUUAUAGACUUGGCUGAAAGAAGACACAGUAAUAGCAAUAUUUAACAUUUAUAUCACUUUAAUAUAAUUGAUUUCUCUUUUUAAAUAUGUGGAUUAAUUAUAUAUAGCAGUAUCUUGAUAGAUCGGUUUACGACUUUAAUAAUUCAAUACCAAAAAUGGAACCUAAUCCGGACAAAGAUUAAAAAAAAAUGCAAUUGAGAGACUGAUUGGUAAGAAUAAUUCAAAAUGAGGGGAACAAAUAGUAAACAUUCACCCCGCCCCCAAAGUUUUAAAAUGCAUCAAAACCCCUUCUGAUGUGUCAUAUAAUUAUCAAUGCUUUUGUAUUUUUAUUUGCUACGAUCUGUGGUUUAUUAAUGAGAUUGGUUUGUUUCCAUUGGUGGUUAAGUCAGACUUAAAGAGUUAUCCAAAUGGUGCUGAGUAGAGUUUCUACACGUAGAGAACUUUUUUCGAGCAUUUCUGAGGUGCAGCAGUUGAUUACACCUAAGUCUAUAAAAGUUUUUCAUGUGUUAAGAGAUGCUGUAAUUUUGCUGCUGCAUUUAAACGUUUGGCAGGAGAAAUGUCCUAGCCAAAUUAUAUGUUUUCAUUGAACUAUUCCCCUUAAUUAUAUUACCCUUUAUUAGGGGGAAAAAAUAAUUUGCUCCUCGUGAUAUAUCAAUAAUAAGAGCAGUAAAUUUAAAAGUUUUAGAAAAUAAAACUAACGGAAUAUAUUUAAAUACUCUUUUUUCAUAUAUAUUAAAUUCUAAAUUUUUUCAAUAAAUAAUGUAAGUAUUUGUGUAAUAAGAUAUAUCUAUUGUAUACAAAAUAACAUCUAAUACUUUUUAAUAAAACUAUGUCCCAUGAAAAAUUUAUCCAUUAUAUCCCAACUUGUACUUACUCAAUACUAUGUACAAUACAAAUAAAGUUCAAUAAAAAACUAAGUUCCACCAAAAGUCUAGGAUAAGAAAUUUAAAAAAAAAAAAAAUCCCACGACUACUAGGGAGAGUUGAGCACCUCCAUCUUAGAGUUAAAGAGAGAAGGUGCCGACAUAUUAUAAAUUUUCAAAGUAAAGUAUGAUAAUUUAAUUAAAAAUAAACUUUGACAAUGCAACUAUGGGUUUGUGUUUUUUUUUUUUCCUUAGGUCUGAAUUUUACUUAUUUUCAUAUAUUUACAGUUUUUAAUUUGUUUAUUUUUUAUUCCUUAUUUCUGAUUAUAAGAUGCUUAGAUCUGAAUUGAAAAAUUUAAAUAUUCUGACUUUUAUCUAAAUGGCAAAACAUCUGAAUAGAACUUUAAUAUUUCUCUCUCAUUAAUACCCUAUUAAAUAAAUUAUUCUUAUUAUACAAAUUAUUCUUUUAUUAUUUUUUAUCUCUUUUUUUGGUUAUAUGUGUGCAUUCAAUUAUUAAUUUUUUUAACGAGAAUUUUAUGCAUAAUCAAACUUUAGGUAAGUAUGUUUUAUAAUAGGUUCAUCUCUUUGUAUUAAUAUUUACUAUUCUUAUAAUAAAUUUUGAAUUUUAUUAAUACAUUAAUUUUAAUUCAAAUAUUUAAACAAUCCUUGAUUUGACUUAUGUAAUUAACAAGAAAAAUAUCAUAUAAUAAACUAAAAAUAACAUUAUAAAUAUCAUAUAUUAAUGUAAAAAAAAAUGUGUUCAAUAUAUUUUUUAUUUUUCAUGCUUUUAAUGUCAAAAUUAUCAAAUUUUUUUUACUAAUCAAAUAAUUUAUUUAUAACUUGUCAUUCGUUUAACCAAUAAAAUAUAAGUGUUAUUAAUAUUUAUGAGGUUAUAUAUGUCAAAAUAUCAUAUUUAUUUAUUUAUUUAUUUUACAAUCCUUCUUCUCCAUAUUUUUUCUACUUCUCUCAUAAACAUUUAAAAAAAAACCUGAUGGCUAGAUAAAAACUUAUCUAUCUUAUAAAUUCAACUAUAAUUACAUUAAUACUGAUUUUUAAACAAAAAAUACAAGUGAAUAAUAUUUUAUAAAGGAAAAAAAGUCAAUGAAAGCAUUCAUUAUUUUAAUAUUGAUUGCUGAACAAAUGUCUAGACAUUAAGGGUGUGUUUGGCUAUAUUAUAUAUUAUGUUGUAUUGUAUAAUUUUAAUGUUGGUGUAUUGUAGUAUAUUACAUUGCAUUAACAAUUUAUUAUAAUAAAUGUUGUACAAUAUCUGAUGUUACACUAUACUGUAUUAAUUUUUAAUUAUACAAUAUUUGGUGUUAUACUAUAUUGUAUUAAUUUUUUUUGAAUAAGUUAAAUUAUGUACUUAAAAAAUAAUAUUUAUUAGUACUUAGAAGAAUACUAAAUAUAGAAGUAUUAAAUUUUAGAAAUUUAUAAUUUUUUAAUAUUUAUUAUUACUUAUAUUAAAUUGUAGAUUUACUACUAAAUUAUAAUCUAAAAAUAAAAAUAUAAUAUAAUAUAUUGAAUAAUAAAUUAUAAAUUUAUUAUUUUAUAUUAAUAAUUAUAAUGUAAAAAUAAAAAUAACAUUAUAUUAAAUUAAAAGUUAGAUUUAUUUAUUUUUAUUAUAAAAGUUAAAAAAAUAGAGGUGAGCUGUUAGCUAAACCUAGCCCCUUUAAUGCAAUGUUCUGUGCGUUAGUUUUGGUGCCAAACAUAAAUAUGUGUUAAUUGAAUACAAAACAUUAUAAGGUUAUUAUCAUUUUACUAUUUCAAAAAUUGUCAAAUAUCAAAUGACUACAACAAGUAUUGUUUCCUAUCAUUUUCGUACUAUAUCUUUAUAAAAAUAUCAUUUUACUACUUUUCCAUUAUAACCGUUAGUUGACCAGUUAGUUGACUAACAAAAUACCAAUUUCACCCUUUAUGAUUAAAAAAAAUUACUUGAAACUUAUUUACAAAAUAAAUUUGUAAUAUAUUUAUUAAAAUAGAUAUAAAAUACCAACAUAAUUCUUUUUGCUGGAAUUAUGAAAAUGAAGCUUAUUUACAAAAUAAAUUUGUCUUAUUAUUUUUUUUAAUGAAACUUAUUUUUUUUAAUCAUGAAGGGUAAAAUUGGUAUUUUGUUAGUCAACUAACGAGUCAACUAACGGUUGUAACAGAAAAGUAGUAAAAUGAUAUUUUUAUAAAGAUUUAAUAGGAAAAUGAUAGGAGAUAAUACUUGUUGUAGUCAUUUGAUAUUUGACAAAUUUUGAAGUAGUAAAAUGAUAAUAACCCAACAUUAUAUUUAUGCAAUGUUAUGCGGGCCAGCAAAUGUGUCCUAAGGGUCCAACUAUGUCACUGUGAAUGUAAUAUAUGUUGCUCUAAAUCAAAAAGAAAAGAAAAAGGGAAGGAAAAUUGACCCCCCAAGUGAAUGUAAUAUCUGCUAAAAAAAAAUUGUUAAUUUCUAGUUUGAACAGUUUCUUGACUUUAUUGGCUCGUUGCUUUAUUUUCAAUCUUCUAAACUUUUAGUAACAUGUUUUUGCAUGCUUAUUUUAUAAUUUUUAACAAUAGUUUGAUAUAGUAAAAUAUAGGAAUGAGUUGUAAGUAUUAUAUAUGUGUACUUGACCCCUUCAUUGAUCUGUAUGCUUUUAUUGAAUUUUUUAUGAAUGAUUCUUUUAUAAUUUCUUGAAUUACUAUUUACAUGUUUGAGAUCAUGAAUAGUACUAAAAUAAUUUUGUGGAAGAAAUUAGUUCUUAAAGGAUUGUAAAAGAUUAUGAUUUUCUUUUAUGAUCAUCCCCUUGAAGGAGCUAAAAGUUCAUAUAUAAGUUUGACAAUAAUUUCAAAAGCUCGAUUGAUUAUUUUAUUUGAAGUUAUGUAGAGAGAAUAAUAUAAAAGAAAACAUAUUAGGGGACACAUGAUUUUAUAGCACAAAUAUGCUCCUGCAUUAGCAAAUUAAGAGUGCCGAUAUAAAUUGAUAUUAUAUUUUCUUUUGUUAAAGACUAAAUAUGAUUUUUUGAUUAAAAAGAAAAUCAUGACUAAUUUAAAUCCUUAAUGGAUUCCUUUUCUUGCGGGAGCAAUAAUGGAUGUAAACCAUUAUCAAAUAAAUUUUCAAAAUUAUAAUGGCUACAAAUCUUAUAAUAAGAAAUCAACGUGUAAAUAUUAGACCACCAAAAGUGAUAUGAAAUUGAAUCAAUAUUGGUGAUGGACCAAAAGUUCAAAUCCAAAAUCUUCACUAAUUUGGCUUAGUAACUUUCAUGAAAGUUCUCCUACGAUUAGGGAAGCAAAGUGAUAUACAUUUGGUGGACAAUAUAAAUUAUUUGUCUCACCGUUAUCCAAUUUUGAUUUUUAUAUGAGUUAAUUUAUUUUAACCUGAAGUUCAGAAAGAUUAAUGUACAAUGCAUAUUAUUGAUCAAUUAUUGAAUGAAUUUAUUGAUAUGUGAAAGUGAAAAAUCACAAAUAAAAUAUGAUUAUUCGUUGACAAUUUGACAUGCUGUCAUUGAAGGACUAAAUGGUGAGACAAAUAAAUAUAAGAGUGUCUGAAGCAUGUGAUGGAUCAAUUGGUGUAAAAGUUUAAUUCUUGGGAAGUUGAAGUGAAAUAAUUUAGUGUUAUUAAAGAGAUCACAUUUGUAUGUAUAUUAAAAUAUUUGAUUUCUACUAAAUUAUUGAAUAUAUUAUACUUGGAGAGGCAUAAUGUACCAACUAGAAAAUGAAUCUCAAAUACCCUUAAAGAGGUAAAUUGUGAGAAAUAAAAAGAGAUUUAAAUUUCCUAUAAAAAACAUUCAAGUAGAGUAAAAAGACAAAUCUUUAGCCCUGUAGAUGCAUAUAUAAGGGUGGCGAUAGUCAAACUCAUCAAUCACUAUUAACUUAGGGCUGGGCAAAUGGUUUGGGUUUUAUCGAACAGAAUCGAAUCGAAAAAUUGUAGUUCGAUUCGAUUUGAUUUAGAGAACAAAACUCAAAUAGUUUAAAAACUAGAAAAACGAUUGAUUUUUGUUCCAUUCAAUUUGUGUUCCGUUCGGCUCAAAACCAAAUUGAAUGACAAACCGAUUGAUACGUUUUAAUUUAAUAAAAAAAUAAUUUAAAAUAUAAAAGGAAAGAAAAUAAAUUUAAUCAAUUCCUAAAUGAAUCUAACCCUAGAUCGACAAAAUCUCUCCCUCUCUCAAGUCUAGCACGGACGGCAGACAUGCACAGAAGUCAGCAAACAAAAUCUCUCUCUCUUUCUCUCGUAGCCUCUCACGAUGAUGCCAAUGGCCCGACGCCGAUGGUCACGAAUUCGCUCCUAGAACUCAUGGUCUCACUCUCUCUAGUUCAGAACCGCCGCCACUCACCGUUUCACUCUCUCCCGGUCAUCUUCGCUAGCACUCUCUCCCUCCCAUCACUCACGUAAUCACGUUCUCACUCUCUCACGGCCAUCUUCGCCAGCCGCCACUUCUCACCUCAUUCAUCUUGGGGUUCCGGUGGCGGCGAGCUAAUGCUAUUGGUUCUAACUUUUGUAUUGGUCUAAGAUUAAGUCGCUAAAUGAGAAGUUUUUUUUUCCCAAAAUCUAAUUUUUUUGUUAAUUAGCUUGGAUGAUACGGAAGCUUAAUUCAUUUUGAUGUGUGUGCACGUGUGUGUUUUCCCCCUGAAAUUCUCGUCAUGCGUAUUGUUUUUUGAUACUGCAUUGUAAUGAUAAAUUUAGUGCUGUUUGAUAUUAUUAGUUUGCCUCUCUACAUUUUCAUGGAUAAGUGUCUACGAAUCGGAUUGUAUACAAGACUUGUCAAUGUUGCGCACUCCUCGGCCCUGGGCACUCUAAUAGUUCAAAAUGGCGAAUUGAACUUUAUGCCAGAUUAUUGGUGCAUCCAUCGACUUGGUAACUCCUUUAUGAGACGAUAAAAUUCAGAAACUUAUUGAAACUAUAAAAUUCAGGAGCUCCUUUAUCUGUAAACGGUAAAAUUGAGAAACUGAACCGAUCGGUUCGAUUCUGAAAUUCGGUUUGUUUUUGUUUUUUUUUUCAAAACUGUUUGGUUUUGGUUUGGUUCAAUUUUGAACCUGAAUAUAACCGAACCAUAUAAUCCCCAUCCUUCAAUAUUAACAAUAAGUAAUAGUGAUUUUUAUAUUAUUACGAGAAAAGGAUAGUGAGCCCCCUAAUAUUUAGGAAAAGAAAAAUAAAAUCUCUUAACGUUUCAAGAAAGACAUAUAACUCUUUUUUUAUUAAUAAAUUCUGUUUGUCUUAAUAGUGAAUUUAUUUUUAAUUUACAAUUACUAUUAUGUCCCUUAAUAAAUAAAUUAAUUUAUUGACUUAAGACAUGUCAUAUGUAUAAUAGAGCUAAUUUUACUUCUCAUUUGCCUAGUUUGCCUUUCAUCCUUAUAUAAGCCUAUUUAGUAUUUCAUUUUGCCCAAUUUACUCUAGAAGAAAAUAAAUUUGAUUUUAUUUUUAUCUAUUAUUCAUCUUUUUUUAUCAUCCUAUCAUUGGGAAGGGUAUGUUCAUAAUUUAUCCCAAAUAAUUUGGGUAAAAGGUAAUUGCAUCUCAAUUUUAAGUUUUAAAUAAAAAAGUUAUUGAUUUUAUUUUACACGCUAUCAAUGACAUGUUUUGGGUCCAUAUAUUGAUUUAUUUAUUAUAAGAACAUAAUAGUAAUUGUAAAUCAAAAGUAAAUUUACUAUAAAAACAAAUGGAAUUUACUAACAAAAAUAGGGGUUAUAAUUUAUAAAUCUUUUUUUGAAACAAUAAGAGAUUUUAUGUUCUUUUUCCGAAACAUUGGGGAUCCUAUUAUUAUUAGAGUACUACAAAAGACUCAUCAAAUGAGAUUUUACUUGCCACUUGAAUAGUUAUGUUAAUAAAAAGUGUUUCAAAAGACUCUUUAAAUGAGAUUUCUCAAUAUUGAAGAUAGAUAAAGGUAAUCUCAUUUAAAAAAACUCAUUUGAAGACCCUUUUAAAGUCUUUAAUUUAUUAUUAUAUUAUUUUUUAUCUUAUCAUUGUUGAAGGAAGAGAUAUAUUAUAAUUGCUAUUAUUUUGAUAGAAAAAAAAUUUGAUUGAAAUAAUAUAAAUUUAUUUUUAUUUGAAAAUUUUUUUGAGAGGAUUUUACUUUUUCACACUUUUAUUUUUCAGUAAGUAAACCAAUAAGUAAAUAAUUUUACAACAUCAGUGUUACUCCGUUACAGUUCAGGUAUCCAACGGCCCAUAAAAUGACGAGGCAAUCGCUAAUACAUUGCCACGUGUAAUUGACAAUAAGCCUUUUUUUUUUUUGGGGUUUGGGGGCGGGGGGAGAACGGAAGUAAUUGACAAUAAGUUAACAUUAUUGGUUUGAUCGGCCACAAGUUAAAUCAAUGAAGCUUUCUCUCUGUGCCCACUCUUCCAUAACAUUCUGUUAAUCACACGUGGCUAAUUUACCCAAAUCGCAGAAUCAAAUACAAGUUAUAAAUAAACUUUCACUCAAAAUUGAAUACUUAGAUUAAAAUUAAUCAAUACUUAUAAUUGAUCUGACUCACGUAAUACUCCCACAGAGCUACAUUCUUCACCUAAAUCAAUACUUAAAAUUGAAGGCAUUAUUUAGUGUUAGUUUGGUAAACUUUGGUAAACAGUAAAAUUUUGAAGAUUAAAUAAGUUAUUUUGUCUUUAUUAGAAAAAAUUUAAAUUUUAGGUCUUUACAUGUAGAGAUUGAUUUUUUUUUAAAUAUUAAAAUAUGUAAUAUAUCCUUGACUUAUUUGUCAAUCUUAUUUCGUUUUUUUUCAUAAGAACUAUGUUAAUUGGCAUUUGGUGGCGGAUAUAUUAAGAAAGUGCGUGUCAUGAGGAAUUUUAUGGACUCAAAUAUCCUUUUAGAAUUUUGAAAGCUAAUCAAAGCUCUUUUUUAAAUUUAAAUUCAAAAUGAUAAUUAGAAAAUCAAGUUAUUUGAUAAUCACUUUAUGAGCUUAACAAGUAUAUUUUAAGUUGCUUGUCAAAAAAGGGAUUAUUUAGUAAUCUAAUACAAUCAUGAUCUUUUCAAAUUUGAAAAAAAAAUUCAAAGAAUCAAUUGUGUAUUGUGAAUUUGUAAUGCAUUAAGAAAUUUCUUUUCUAAAAUUUAAAUGAUUUUAUCUUCUAUUUUUAAGAUCAGCAUUUAUAGAAAUAAUGAGAAUAAUACUCUUUAAUCACAGUCGAAGAAAUUAUCAAGACGGAAAAGGGAAGGAGAAAAGUUUGAAUGUUGUUGAGUAAAAUUUACGGGCUGAUGUUCAGAGAGAAAAAUAAACUAAAAAGUAAAUUAUUGAGCGGGCUAUUCAAACCCUCUCAUUUGGAUAACAAAACCCUAUUUAUAUUUUGACUCUAAUUACUAUUUUAUCUUAAACAAAAUUAACAAAUGAAAAAAAAAAAGCCAUGAGCGUAACUAAGGUUGGCAAAAAAGCUAGGUUGGCUUGGACCCGCGUGCUUUAGGCUCGACCCGUAUUGUGAGAUCCUGAGUAUGGGUCUAAAUUUCUUAAGUCUAUUGUCAAUGAGCCUAGUCAAAGGGCUUAUAGAAAAAAAUCAGGCCAAGCCCAAAUAAUAAUAAUUAAAAAAAAUUGCAAAAUGAAAACAAUUUUCGCAAACCCGAAAAUUAAACAAUAUUAAAGAACUUUUGUUGGAGAAGAAUUGAAGGAUGAGCAAGAAGAUGACCCACAGAUAUUGGAUUAAUUUGCAUUCGAUAUUAGUAUUUGUGGUUUAUUAUAAAGUUAUGUUGUUAGUAUUUUGUGUAUUGGGCUAUUAGUUUAUUAUAUAUUGAAUAAUCCUAUAUAAUACAAUUUAGAAGAUUUUAAUGAUAAUAUGUAAUACCACAAUUAAAGUCAGCUUAAGAUCGGGAAAUAAAUUUAGGUUUAAAAUUUAGUAUGUGUCUACAACAUUAUAAAUUGUCUUUUUCACAAUUUCUAAAUGUAUACAGUAAAAAGAAUCAAAUAGGGGAAAAAAAAGAAAGAAAGAAACUUGGUCUUCUCGUUUAAUAUUUGUUAUUAUACAUGCUUUUAAUUUUAAAGUUCUUCAAUCUUUAUUGGGUCCACUUCUUUCAACUAAAAUUUUUUACUUAAAUCAUGAUUUAACUUUUAUUCAUUUGAUCCAUUCAGUCUAAUUUGGGAGAUUGUCAAUUUCUCCAUAUUAAAAUUAAUAUAUAACUUAUCUUCUAAUUGUUUUUAUAAUAUCUAGUAAUCCCCAUGGUACCAGAAAUUUAAAGAAAAAGAACAAUAAAUGGAACAUUUGUUUGAUAUUUGAUCUUGAGCAUAUAAAAUAUAUAUUUAUUAUAAGAGAAAAUAUUUAAAAAAUAAUACAAAGUAAAAGAAAAAUAUCUUAUUGUUAAAUUUUUAUUAAUACUGAAACCUUUAUUUCUUACUUUUAGUAUUUAAAUUUUUUAUUUUGAUUUCAAUUUAUAUGAUUAACUUAAUUUAUAAUAAAUAUGAAUAAAAGUACAUUUGAAAAGUGUUAGGGAUUUGUUUGAUAUUGUGAAACUAAUAGGGGAUAAGUAUAUAUUAAUUUCAGUAGAAGAUAUAACAUAGGAUGGUUGCAUAAGAUUAGCAUAUUAUUUUCUGGAACUUAUAACUUGGGUUACAAAUAGUCAUUUUGGGCGUAUAAUAUACUAUUUUGAAGCUUUCGAAUCUUAUUAAAAUUUCAACAUUAUAAAAAAUACACAAAAUAUAUUAGUCUAACAUAAAAUACUACUAUUGUGGGUAAAUUAUCAUCACUAACAUCAAUACUUUACUUUAUCUUUUAAUCAAUAUACAAGUAUUAUUAAUAAUAUUAACAAGUGAAUUUUAUACAACUAUCGUUAACAAUUAAUUAAACAAAUAAAAACCCAACUUUAGUAAGCAAUCAAUAGAUCGCCAUUAAGGCAAAAAAAAUAUAAUCAAAUUAAAAUAAAAUAUCAGUAAUAUUAAACUUGAAAAUUAUGAAAUUUGUAGUUAUUAAAAACUUAUUGUGUGUGUGUGUGUGUAUAUAUAUUUAUUUAUUUAUGAUUAAAUUUUUAAUGUAAUUUUAUGAUGAAUAUUAAAAAUAUAAAUAAUUAAAAUAAAGAAUGCAACUUGGUUGAUACCCGCGUCGGUAUCCAAUGGAUUUUUUCUCACUACCAAACCCACCUGCAACCAGUGGAUUGGCAGUUUGGCGGAUAAUUUUGCCAUCCUUAGUUGGAUGGCAUUAUCCACGGUUACAAGCAAAAGAUUCUACACACUUUUCAAUUAAUAUUUUUAUUCCAUCAUUGCCCUUAUUAAGAAAUAAAUAUUUUGUAUUUUUGCUCUCAAUCUUUUAGUAGAUUUAACUUCUCAUCUCUCACAUCCUUCUCUCUCUCCCCCCUCCCUCUUUUAAGUGAUUCAUCACUUGAUCAAAUAUUAGCUUUUAAUCAAAUCCUAAAUUCAAAUUAAACAAUUUUUUAGUUUACCACACAAAUCAAAAUCAAUAUCACUAAUAACAACAAAACCCACCACUUAUUCAUAAAAUUCGAUAAAACACAACAUUAAAAUUCAUCAUAUAUUGGUGGAGGUGAUGGAUUUGCAUGGCAGAUUGAAAGUGAAGAGGAUAGGUACAGGUGGUGGUGAUGAAAUUGUUGAUGAAGGUAGGUGGUAGGGAUGAUGGUUAUGCUAAACAAAGGGUGAGAAUAAAAUAUCUUUUUAUUUUUAAUAAGAGUAAUUUUAGAAAGUAAUAAGAUAAAUUAAAAAGUAAGCGUUAAUAAGAUAAGUUGAGAAAUGUCAUUAAAAGUGGGGCAGAUGAAACAAGUUGAGGGAUCCUAUAUCAUUACUCAUACAAUGUAACUAAAGCAUCUAUAAAUGUUCAAUGAAAGCCCCAAAUACAACUGAAGCCCACCAAUGCCCAUGUUAGGUAAUCAAAGAAAAUCACGUUAUCUAACCUUGGAGAGAUGAAGCCCAAUAGUUUUUGAUGCGGUAAUUGAGAUAAAUCACUUCGUUGAACCCUACAAAGAGCAGUCCAAUAAUUCUAAAUACAGUGAGCACAUACCAUUCUAAUCCAAAUGAUUAAAUAAAGCGAGAUUUUAAAUAGUACUUAAUGUCGUGAAGUUAAAGAUGAUAAUUAGGGAUGGCAAUGACACCCGCAAAUCCGCAAACCCACCCGCUGCAGAUAAUUUUGUGGGUUGUGGGCGGCUUUGGUAUUAUAAAUUGAAACCCGCACUAGGUUGCGAGUGAGUUUGGUAUUAACCAAAUAUCCGGCGGAUACACAUGCACAACUUCUUUUUAAUUAUUUUUAAUUUAAUUUUAAUUAAAAAUAUUUAAAUGCAAAAAUAUAUUUAUAUACUUAUUAUAAUUUUGAUUGAAUUUUCUUUAACUUAAUGCAUUGAUUAUUUCAUUAUUACAAUUUGGUUCUUUGGAUUAAUAUUUGAAAAAUGUUAUUCUUUAGAAAAUAUUAAUCGUAAUCAUUAUUGUAGAACUCAUGUUGGAUAGGUGCUAAUGGUGAUAAUGAAAUGAAUAUCUUCUUUUGGAGCUUGUGGUUAAUGAUAAUAUGAAAUGAUAAUUGUCAUUCUUAGAUACUAGUUUGCGGAUUUUUUAAUGGAUUUGUAUAUUUUCUACUUAAAUUUAAAAAUUUGUGUUGGAUCGAUGUUGAAAUUUUAAUUUUUCAUUUACAUUGGUUAAAUUUAGAAUAGAGUAUGUUGUGUGGAAAUUUAGGUUAUUAUUAUAAAUUUAUAUAUUGAACAUUUAUGAAUUUAAAUGUGAAAACCCGUAAAAAUUCUGACGGAUACCAUUGCGGGUUUGGUAAUUGUCAAACCCUACAGCGGGUGGGUUUUUUUUUUUUUAAAUUAAACCCACGAUAGGUUGCGGGUGGGUUUGGUAAUUUAAAUUUUAUGCAGGUGCGGAUUUAGUAAUGGCAAACCCACUAUGGGCAGUGUACAUUGCCAUCUCUAAUGAUAACGAACCCAUCAAAGUAACAAAAAGAUAAAUUUAAGAUCUCCUAUUUAUAAUAGGAUGAAAACACACUAAUAAUGUCCUAUAUCAAUGACUACACAAGCCAUAUAACACAUUUAGUUGGGCUUUGAGAUAUAUCAAGAUGAGCUUAUGUAAACUAUUUUCACCAAAUUUUUGCUAGAAUCCAAAUUCGAACUGAUUGGGUAGUUCUCACAGGAUCCAGCUUAAAUCCAAUCCAAAGAAGUAAAUUAAUAUUUCAGGGGAGUUUGCGCUAAGUUUGGGUAAUGCACACUAGGUGAUGACUUAAAGUGAUUUGUGUGGUGAGUUAAGGUGGUCAUAUGGAGAACAAUAUGGAGAGCUCAGUGGAGUCUGCAUGAGUAAAAUAUAAGGAGUUGAUAUGGGGAGUUGAUGUAAGCUCAAGAAUAGCUUAGAUGAGCUGAGGGGACAACUCAAGUGACUUGCAGAAUACUUAUGUUGUGCUCACUUGCUAGAGUGGGAAUGAAAAGUGUGGAUUCUUCCCACUCCAAUGUUUACUUACUUAUUUAAGGAGGGGAGUGGAGUCGCAUUCCGUGGGUCCGCUCAUUUUUUGAGUGUGAAGUGGGAUUCCCACUCCCAUCGGGAGAUCCUCUUCCUUUUUUACCUUUCUUUUAUUAAACAUAAUAUAAAUAUAUUUACUAAAAUAAAUAAUGUUGCAAUUACUUAAAAAUAAUAAUAUUAUAGUUAUUUAAAUAACAUUUUUAUAAUAUUAUUUAAUAAUAUUACAUGUAUUUCAAUCGGGAUUCCUAUCGGGGGUAAAAGCUCGUUUAGUCCCUAUAUUUUGAAGUUAGUGUCCGUUUCAUCCCUAUAUUUUUUAAAAUACCUCAAACCAUCCCUACCAUAAAAUUAUUGACACUCUUGCCAUUAUGUUUUGUUCCUUUUAACUUAUUUUUACAAUAUUACCCUAUUAUAAUAAUUUUUUUAGAAAUUAUUAAAAAGAAAAAAAUAAAUUACCAGUUUAACACCAAAAAAUAAAAAAUAUAUAUUAAUUUUUGUGGAACACUCUCUUGAGUUAAAAUAUUAAUUUUUCUAAAAAAAUUGAUAAUGUAAUUUUUUACAAUAUUAUUUUUUUAGACAUACGUGAGCUUCCACAAAAAUUAAUAUAUACCUUUUUUGUUGUUAUUUUAUUUUUGAGUUUAAUUUGAUAAUCUAAUUUUUUAUUAAUAUCCAAAAAAUAAACAUUAUUGUAAGAGUGUUAUAUUGUAAAAGCAAGUUAAAAAGAAUAAAAAAUAAUGGCAUGAGUGUCAAUAUUUAGCAGCAGGGACGUUUUGAGGUGUUUUUAAAAAUAUAAGGACUAAAUUGACACUAACCUCAUAAUAUAGGGACUAAAAAAGCUUUUACCCUUCCUAUCGGCCCGAUCAAUCUCGGCUUUUGAAUGCAGACAAAAUUUAAUCCUAAAUCACUAUCAAUUAUUUUAAAUCAGUUUUUUAGAACAUAUAACGAAUCUCAGAAUUCAGAAUUUAGAGCGAAAAUCGCUUCUUUCGACCAACAUCACUAAUUUCAUUACACAAGAAUCAAACAAACUAAACUCACUGUUUUGGGAUCAUCAAAUAUGAUUGAUCUCUACUAUACUACGCUCUAAAGUCUAAGCAAAUCAGAAUAAUCAUCACCAUGAUGUAACUAAUAGCCUCGUCUAUAGUGGAUUUCGAAAAUUUUGUUAUCUUAAUGAUUAUUAAUUGGGCAAAAAAUAGAUAGCUCCCUAAAAAAUUUAAACAUAAACUAAAAAAAUAAACUUCUUUUAAGUACCGAGUAAAUAAGUCUAUUACUAUCAACUUAUUAUUAUUUUGACAAUUCAUUGCCAAUACCGAGUAAAUAAGUAGGCAAUAUAAUUAAUUAAAUUAUUUCUAUAUAAAAAGGGCCAUUAAUUAAUUAAUGUAUGGCCCUGCCGACACCCUUAAUUCCAGCCAAUUGCCAGAUAUAGCAAAAUGUUAUGCAUAUGCACAUGUAAUGUAAAGAUAGUGUGCCGAGUAAAGCAAACCAGCAAAGAGCUGGCCCAUGGUUGCAUAUUGCACAUAAAGAAGCCAGCAAUAGCCAAUUGCAAUUCAAUUAUUUUAUUUUUAUGUCGAUAUUGUUAUUGUGUGCUUAAUCUUAUUGAUUGACUUGCCUCGAUGAUUCUUGUUUUCACCUUUACUAAUUUAUUUGAUUUGCUGCCUGUUUUGGGUACCGUACAUAACAUAUAUAUAUCUUACUUCCUUAGGAGUUUUUAUUUUAUUUUAUUUUAUAUCUUUUUGAGUUUGUUUAGAUUUGACCAACAUGUUAAAUGUGCAAAUUGGGCAUGACUAUGCUACUAAAAAUUAAGCAUCAAGCUAUUUACUAGUAUUAAUUUCCCUAACAUCAUUAUUUUCUAGCUAGUUGAAACCCUCAAUAAUUUUGUUUUAAAGUUCCCAAAAAUAUAAUUCAAAUGUUUUUUUCCCCAAUGAUUUAGGGAACUUAAGAGUUAUUUAAAGUAGCAAAGGUUAUUAUUCUAUAGUCAAUUUUAUUUUAUUUCCUUAGUAUAAUUCAAUAGCAAUUACAUUAUCUUAUCAUUCAAUUAAUCAAUACCGUAUUAUUUAGGACAAAAUUUUAAAACGUGCACUACUACACUACUCAUUACAAAAACCGUAAAGUAAUAGAAAUUUGAAUGUCGCUAUUUUUAUUAAAAAAAUUUUUUUUUUUCAAUGGAUAAAAUGGGUUAAAAAUUGUGACGCAAUUAUUAAAGGGAAUAUGCCUAACACGCUGGUGACACGGAGAAUCCACCAAAGUCCAAACCCACCCAAAGCUUGAGGUCACAGUUACGCCUAGGCUUGGCAAUUUAGCCCGACCCUAAUUUUGGCCCGAUUGACCCGACCCUAAUUUUUAGGGCUUUGGCCCGACUUUUCAAGUUUAGGGUCGGGUUAGGGUCAAGAUUUUAAGGUCCGAACAAAUUUAGGGUUAGGGUCGGGCUUAAUGCCGACCCGACCCUAUUUAAAAAAAAAAAAACUAACACAAGUUAACACACGCACACAACACAUCCUCACACAUUGUGUUUUUAAUUUAAUUGUAUUGUAUUUUUAUUUGUAUAAGACAUGAAUUUUUAUUUUUUAUUUUUUAUGUUGAGUUGUUGAAUUGAAUUGUGUAUGACUAAAAUGGUUGUGGAAUUACAUUGUGUGUUUAUAAUUUAAUUGCAUUGUGUUUUUAUUUAUAUAAGACAUGAGUUUUUUAUUUUUUAUGUUGGGUUGUUAAAUUGAAUUGUGUAUGGCUAAAAUGGUUGUGGAAUUAUAUUAUGUAUUUUUAAUUUAAUUGCAUUGUGUGUUUUUAAUUUAAUUGCAUUGAAAAUAUUUGAUAUAUAUUUGUGUAUCAUGGUUUUAAAAAAAAUAAAUUAUUUAUUAGUUAAAUGGUAGAUGCUUUAUUGCCUCAUUUGAAUUCUUAUAUAUGUAAUGAAGAAGUUGAUUUUUCAACAUUGAAUUGUGGGUGGAAAAUGGUUUCAGUAGGGUCGGGCUUAGCCCGACCCGAUGUUGGCCCGAUUCGGGUCGGGGCCGACCCGACCCUAACUAUAAAUAGGUAGGGCUUUUUUAGGGUCGGGCUUUAAUUUUUUAUUGAUCGGGUCGGGUCGGGUUUGGCCAAGCCCGAGCCCGACCCGAUGUUUUGCCAUCCCUAGUUACGCCCGCGCAGUAAAUGGUUGGUGAAAGGAUAAUUCGACAUUAAAAUAUAAAAAUACCCAUUUUCAAUUGCAUUUUUUUGUUCUUCCAUAAAAUCUCAAAGUUAUAUGGUUCACGAUUAAAUUUUAUAGAAUUGUUAUAUGAUACUGUAUGAUUUUUUUACAAUAUUGAUAAUGUGUUCUAUUCCAGACCUUCGGAUUUGAAUAUUUUAAUUUUUACUAUUAGUUUAGUUAAGCAAAUAAAUAAUUAGUUAAUUAAUAAGUAAUAGGUAAUCUUUAAAAGUAAGUUGAUAAAUUCAAAUUAAAUAGAGAUACUUAUGGAUUCAACAUGAAAAGAGAGAGAUUGUGAUCCAUUAUAAUUCUUUUUUGCCCCUUUCUUUUAACUUUGAUAUAAUCUUUUUAACCAAUUCGUUAGCUAAUACAAUAUUUCUAAAGAAUUUAUAUCUUUCAAUUUGUACAAAUAUUUUACACUGUUGAUCAAAAUCUAAAGGUGUACAUUUAUUAUAUUAUUAAUGUCGUACAAAAAAAUAACAGUAUCAUAGAGAGAUCUAUUAUUUUAAUUAUUAGUAUCAAUCUUAUGUGAAGAAAAAAAGUAAAAAUUAUAUAAAGACAUUUAAGUAAACUCGUAAUGGUAAUAUAAUUAACUUAGGGGUUGUCCGUUAAACGUCUAAAAGUUUAAAAUUUUAUUAAUUUCAAUUUUUUUAAAAAAUUAUUUUUUUAACUUAUAUUUUAUUUUAAGAGAUUUACAUCUGAAUAGAAAAAGUAAAUUUUUGUGAUUUUUAUUUGAAUGAAAAAAUGUCUGAAUGAGAAAUAAAUAUUAUAUUUAAAAAAUAUCUCUAUAAAAUAUAUUAAUUUCCCAAACUAUAAAAUCUAAUCUCUUUUAUUGUUUUGAUUUAUAAGGACAUAAAUGUCAAUGAGCAUGCUUAACAUUUUUUUUUACUUUAUAAAAAAAAAUGCCACUUAUAUUCAUAUAUUAAAAAAAUAUCAUUCAAAUAUUCGUAUUCAGACAUAUCUAGACUUCAAGAAAAAUUGAGACAAAUUCAGAUUUCAGAUAAUAAAAUAAAGUCCACUUUAAUUUAAUAAUCAAUACUUGUUAAAAAAAUCGUAUAUAGAAAAUACUCUCUUUAGAUGCUGUGAGACUGAAUUUUUUUUUUUUUCCUUUAAGGGAGGUGUAGCAAAGAUCGAGAUAUUUAGUUUCCAUUUUAAUUGAGAUUUUUAAACAAGAAAAAUGAUUAUGCAUAUAAAAGGUCAUAGUUAAUUACGUUUACCUUGCUAAUUUAAUCAUGGAUGACAGGCUAUACCUAUACUCGUUUAUAUUUCAAUUACAAAAAGGAAUUCUUAAAAAAUUCCGGAUAAAUCUUAUAUAUCAGAAAAGUCGUUUUUAGUAUUCUAUGAGAGUUUUGUGAUGAUUUAACAAAAUUUAAAAGAAAUUUGUAACGAAUCUUGAAUUCAACCAAAAAUUUAAUGAUUUAACCAAAUCUCAUUGAAGGAACUGGAUUAUCAUUAAAAUUAGUCAAUAUGCACUUAACUUGUUAACUCAAAUAGUCCAUUUCUUGCUCUUGACAUUUCAAUUUGAAUAUGAGUUAAUUAGUAAGGUAAAUAUUUAUUUAAUCCUUAUAUUUUGAAUUAAAUAUCUAUUUGGUCCUUAUACUCAAAAAAAAAAAAAAAAAACAGAAAACCACUUUGUAAAAUAUGUUACACUUCGACUGUUACUUUUUCUUUCUUUUUAUAGUAAUACCCUUACAACAAUAUUUUUAGGGAUAUUAAUAAAAAAUUAUAAUUUACCAAAUUAACCUUAAAAAUAACAUAAAAAUUUACACAAAUAUUUUUAUUAUUAUAUUAAUUUUAAGAUUAAUUUGGUAAGUUAAUUUUUUAUAAAAGAAUUAUUAGUAAGAUUGUUGCACGGUACAAAUAACCACACUAAUAUUUAUUGGUUAGUUUGCUAAUAAAUAAUUAUUGGUUAAUUUUUAAAUAUAUUUUUUUAUAGAUUUAUUAAUUAAUGUCAACAAUAUUUUUGUGAUGAUAUUAUUAUAAAAGGAAAGAAAAAAUAAGGGUAAGAAUGUAACAUAUUUAAUUAUAGGGGUGUUUUGAACUUUUUUUAGAAUAUAAAGACUAAACAAAUAUUUAAAUUAAUAUAAAAGGGACUAAACGAACAAUUAUUCUAACUCCUACUUAUUACACUUGUAUAGAAUGAAGUGUUUAGAUUUCCUUAAAGAUACUUUUUUUAAAGAUUUUCUUAAAAAUACUUUAGUAUUGUAAUUUCUAUAGAUUAAUGAUACAAACUUAUUUUGUACAAACUGAUGUGGCGUUAAUUCAUUUGUUAAAUUAAAUAUCUCUUGGCCCACAGGGUUUAUUUAUAUUAUUUUAUAUUUUUAUUCAACCAAUGAAUUAAUGCCACAUCAGUUUGUACAAGAUAAGUUUGUACAAAAGUUUGUGGGUAUAUCAUCACUCUUUUCUAUAUUAUCCAUUUGUAAUUUACUCUUAUUAUCUAAUUAAAAAGCAAAUGUAGCCACCUUAAGAAUUUCAAUUCACGUUUUGUUGUUGAAAAGUAAAAUUGUUAGACAAUUCAAUUCAAUUUAAAAGUUUUAAAUUUUGACAUCUAAUUGUAACUCAUAAUCUUCAAUGAAAAUGAUUUUUCUGAAGUCAAUCUUGGGGUACUUGGACUUGACUUCUAAUUUUCAACUUUUGUAAAACGAGAUAUAUUACCCUUAAAAGCUACAAAUACAAAAUUGCUAAAUCACCAAGGAGAAAAAAAAAAAAAAAGUCGAUGUCAAAUUGUCAAUCAAGGUGAUUGAUAAUGAGACAUUUGGAAUUCAGGUUGCUUACACAUCAUCAAAAUGGAAGUGGUCCAAAGUCCAAACCUACCCCCAUUUUUGAUCAACUAAAUUAUUGGAAUUAAGUUGAUCGUGCGAAGAUAGAAAAUUUUUAUAUUAACAUGUGGUUUUAUAUGAGGAAAAGGAUCAGCAGCCUCUAUCUGGACAUUAGUUUACAUUGCCUUAAAUUUAGGAGAACAAAGCGAUUGUGUAGGUUCCAUAUUUUAGAAAAGUAUAAUGUUUUCAGUAUUUUCUUAAUAAUAUUUUAAUUAACAAACAUUUAUUUUAUGUUGUAUAUUGUAGAAAAGCCUAUUUUAAACAUCUCUCUAAUUAGUAAUUUACGUAAUUAAGAAUUGUUUUUAUAUAGAAAAUCUAUAUUUAAGAACUUUAGAGUUAGAAAGAUAUAAUUAAUAAUAUUAUCCAACCACCAUCAAUUCUUUCAUCAUCUCUCUUUUGAAGAAUAAAUAAAUAAAUUCUUUAAAUUUUCAGUUUCUUAAAUAACUUAAUUAUUUAAUGUCUUAAUCUUUGGAUUUUAUUAUUCCUUUUAUUUUCUAUUAAAAACUUUAUAAUAUCAAAAACUAGUAGACGGAAAUUUUUUUACUCCAUUCUCUACAAAAAAAAAUAAUUAUUACAUUCAUUGACUCACAUAAAAAGGAAAAACAAAGUUUUUUUGAAAUACAAAUCAAUACGUGCUAUAACUAUUAUUGAUCUUCAAUUUUUUAUCUCAACUUUAUACGUGCUAUAAUUCUAAAUAUUUUACUUGAAAUUAGUAUUGUUCUUAUUUUACUCAUGCUUCUGACGGAAGUAAUAAAAUUUCUUCUUGACUUAUCAUUUUUAGGAUUUUUUAAAAUUUUUUUUAGAAUCUUCUUGAUUAUUAUUGAAAUUCGAAAUAUGCUUAAAGAUUAAACAAAUUCUGAGCUCCUUUAUAUAUUUUUUGAGUGUUGAAGUAGUUAAAUAAAAUGAGGUCUUAUGAAAAAAAUUUGUCUAAGGCCAUAAAUACUCUAUAAUCGGCGCUACGUACAAUGAUAAGUUUUUACACUGAUUGCAAGUCUUUAGAUCAUGCAUGAAUGAAUGGCUAGGUAGGAUAGUCAAUGAAUUUUAUAUAGUUCUAAGUUACAAUAAAUGUAACACGAAGACAAAUAGAUAUUGAAUGACAUAUAAUAUUUUCACAUUAAUUUGUAAGUUUUUUUUUUCCAUGUGUUCUCUCUCUUUAAUGUGUGUUUCCUAUUAUUUUUUGAGAGCCUCAUAAUUUCUUGGAUAUCAACCUCUCAAACCCAUGGCCACUUGGGCUUGAAGCCCUCCCAUACUCACGACCUUAGCCCUCCCAUACUCACGACCUUAGCCCAUCUUGUAAGUCCAACUGAGGCCCAAUAUGCUGUCCUUGUUCGGGUCGUCCAGACAAAAGCCUUCAAAGCUACAUCGGAAAGGUUCCAAGUUUAGUUUGCAAGGUGUUUGAUGAAAGUUCUAAGUGAGCAGAAACAAGCUUUUCCCCCUUUUUCUUUAACUUAACUAGGCCCGGGUUAGUUUUGGUUUGCUCCGUUAGCGUACCCCCUUUCCUUUUGAAGCCUUCUGGGCAGGGCAGUAGCUCAAAGUGGAAUAAACGCAGCUGGGGUUAUUAAAGAAGCUUUAUCCGGAAUUCAUUUGAGGUAAUUCUUGCUGAUUUGUUUUUUCAAUUUUGUUCUGUCUGUAGCUUUCUUUUUUUUAAAAAAAAUUGAAUUUUGCUGAAAUUUUAAUGCAGAUUUGUAAAAUUUUCACCAAAUGAGGAGAUUCUGCACUUACUUAUUUGCUAGAAAAAAUUCAUGCUAUUCAAAUGUUAUAAGUACAUUGGUUCCUCUCACUGUCACUGUCACUCACUCUUCAACUCAUCAUCACCAACUACGAUCAUCAGUAACAGUCCCAUCUUUCAGUUUGUCGCCACCCACUUUUUCAGUUUCUUCGCAAUUGGAUUGCAAUGUUAGUAGUGAUGUUAGAUACUGCAGUUCCAGUUCUGUGAGUGAUGUUGCUAAGUUGUACGAAGCUAUUAUCGAUAAUUCAAAUGCAUAUGAUAAUAUGGAGAAGGCACUUGACAGUCUUGGUGUUCCGCUGACUACUGAUUCCGUUGUUGGGGUCCUUCAAAGGUUUCAAUUUGAGGAGAAAAUAGCGUUCAGAUUCUUUAUGUGGGCUGGUCAUCAGGAUAACUAUGCCCACGAGCCUCUGGCGUAUAAUCUUAUGAUUGAUAUUUUGUCUAGUACUAAGUAUAAGGCCAAGCAAUUUCGAUUAGUUUGUAGUAUGCUGGACUACAUGAAGAGGAAUAACAAGGUUUUUGUUCCCGUUGAUGUUUUGCUAAUGAUUUUGAAACAAUAUACUGAGAAGUACAUGACCAGUGUUCAGAAAUUUGCUACGAAAAAAAGGAUUAAAGUGAAGACACAGCCGGAGAUCAAUGCCCUUAACUUGCUCUUGGAUGCUUUAUGUAAGUGUGGUUUGGUUGAUUAUGCCGAGACCAUAUGUAAGAGGGUCAAGAACAAAGUUAAACCCAAUGCUAAUACCUAUAACAUUUUGUUUUUUGGGUGGUGUAGGGUUAGAAAUCCAAAUAGAGGAAUGCAGACGCUUGAAGAAAUGAUCCAAAUGGGUCAUGCUCCUGAUAAUUUUACGUAUAACACUGCCAUUGAUACCUUUUGCAAAGCGAGGAUGGUGACAGAAGCGGCUGAUCUUUUUGAGUUCAUGAGAACAAAAGGUUCGACCAUCUCUUCGCCAACUGCAAAAACCUAUGCAAUCAUGAUUGUGGCCCUUGUACAGAAUGAUAGAAUGGAGGAAUGCUUUUCACUUUUGGGACAUAUGAUAAACAGCGGUUGCCUUCCUGAUGUUUCAACAUACAAGGAAGUACUUGAAGGGAUGUGUCUGGCUGGAAAGGUUGAGGAAGCUUACAAGUUCUUGGAAGAGAUGGGCAAUAAAGGUUACCCUCCUGAUAUAGUUACUUAUAACUGUUUUCUUAAGGUCCUAUGUGAUAACAAAAACGGUGAUGAAGCGCUUAGGCUUUAUGGAAGAAUGAUCGAAGUGGGUUGUUGGCCAAGUGUGCAAACUUAUAAUAUGCUGAUUUCAAUGUGUUUUGAACUGGGUGAACCUGAUGGGGCAUUUGAGACCUGGCAUGAGAUGGAUAAAAGGGGUUGUGCUCAGGACGUUGAUACUUACUGUGUGAUGAUUGAUGGGCUUUUUGAUUGCAGUAAAGUGGAAGAAGCUUGCUUUCUGUUGGAAGAGGUUGUAAACAAGGGAUUGAAAUUGCCGUAUCGGAAGUUUGACUCCUAUCUGAUGCAGCUUUCUGUGAUUGGUGAUCUUGGAGCAAUCCACAAACUUUCAGAUCAUAUGAGGAAGUUUUACAACCCUGUUAUAGCAAGACGUUUAGCACUGAAUCAAAAGAGGGUUAGAAUAAGCUUAAGAGAGAAGUAGGAAGAUAGAAAUUUAGAAUGAAGAACAUGAAUGAAUCAACGAGAAUAUAUGUACGCACCCUGAUUGACAUUCAUUCAUUUGUACAGCUGUGAUUAAUAUGUUCAGAGGAUGUACAUUCUCAGGUAUUUGAUGUAAAACCAAUGCGAACGAGAGAAAAAACCAGAAUUUUUGUGUAAUGUUAGUGUUUUUGAUUAGCAUAGAUUUCAGAUAGGUUCACAGCUUUAUUGUUUAUGAGUUAUUGAAUUUGCCAGCUCUAAUUGUGAUUUUUUUUUGGGAAAAUGGCCUUAUGAUUAGUG